AGAAGAAGUUAUAAUGAAAUAGAACCUGAUGAAUUCGAAAAUACCAGAAGAAGUUACAAUGAGGCAGAACCUGAUGAGUUCGAAAAUACCCGAAGACGAGCCAUAAGUCUUGAAGAUACCGUUGAGGAUAUCGCAUCAAGUUUGAACUAUCGAAAUUCAAAAAUAAGUCGAAGGAUGUCGGACUUUCACCCUGGCAUGAAGACCACUAUCCUCGGUACCCCUACAAGGGCUAACCAGCUGCCCGAAGCUGAGCCUAUACUACCAGGACACACGUUGUUAAGACCAGCUCUGGGUAUGCUGAAGUCAGCCGUCAAGUUCCCCCACAAAGACCUCGAUAAUGGCGCUGGAGUUUAUGGGAAUAUUGAUAACCUGGG